GCAAUCACCCCACCAACAAGCUGAUAGGCCGCGGGCCCAUCCCACACCGCAAAAGCUUUCCACCACAAGACAUGCAUCCCAUGGUCCUAUCCGGUAUUAGACCCAGUUUCCCAAGCUUAUCCCGAAGUGCAGGGCAGAUCACCCAC
rnacentral:rRNA from 1 species